ensembl:lncRNA novel transcript
UUCUGUCUCUCGCUAGUUGUGACCUGAGAUGACAAACCCUAAUCACUGCUCUCUGUUAUCUCAACAGUCAACUGAGUUUGGAUACAUAAACUAAUAUGAAAUACUUUAGGACAUGCAGAAAAAAUUUUGAAAACAGAGAAAGAGAAGCAACCCAAGGAAAACCAAACAAGAAAGCAAAAUAAAAAACUGUCUUGUGAAAAGGCCAAGGCCAUUAUUAAGAAGCACAUGCCAGCCGUCACCCAGGCCUCCUUGCAAGUUUACUGCCUUUUAUUCUACAUAAAAUAUGUAAUGGUUUAUAACUAUUUAUGGAAAUAAUGCAUGCUAAUUUUAACUUAUCCAUACAAUAAAGUUUGAAAACAAACAAAA